rnacentral:rRNA from 1 species
UUAGUGGCGGACGGGUGAGUAACGCGUGAGGAUCUGCCCUCAGGAGGGGGCCAACGACUGGAAACGGUCGCUAAUACCCCAUAUGCCGAGAGGUGAAAUGUUUGUCGCCUGAGGAUGAGCUCGCGUCAGAUUAGCUAGUUGGUGGGGUAACGGCCUACCAAGGCGACGAUCUGUAGCUGGUCUGAGAGGAUGAUCAGCCACACUGGGACUGAGACACGGCCCAGACUCCUACGGGAGGCAAGCAGUGGGGAAUCUUCCGCAAUGGGCGAAAGCCUGACGGAGCAAGACCGCGUGAGGGAUGACGGNCUAAUGGUUGUAAACCUCUUUUCUCUGGGAAGAUCAUGACGGUACCAGAGGAAUAAGCCUCGGCUAACUCCGUGCCAGCAGCCGCGGUAAUACGGAGGAGGCAAGCGUUAUCCGGACUCAUUGGGCGUAAAGCGUCCGUAGGUGGUUAAUCAAGUCAGCUG